UUAUAAUUUAAAUAAUUGUAAUAGUGUGUUAAAAUAUAUUUAUAAUAUUUUCUAGUUUGUACAUGUUGAAAAAAAAAAUAAAAGUUUGAUUCUUGCUUUAUUAAUUAAUUUUAAUAAUUUUUUAUAUGUAAAUUUUUGUAUUUUAAUAUUUUUUAAAAAAUAAUUUAUAUCAUUCAGUAAAUAAUUUUAAUUAAUUAAUUAAAAUUAUAAUUAGAAAUUAUUAUAUAAUUUUGAUUAAAAUUGUGCCAGCAAUCGCGGUUAUACAAUUAAAAUAAAUUAAUUAUUAUAAUUAUAUAUUAUUAUAUAAUUUUUUAUUUUAAUUAUAAAAUAUUAGGUGAAAUUUUAUUUUAUAUUAGAAUUUUGUUUAUAUAUAUAUUAAAUUAAUAUUUUAAAUUAGGAUUAGAUACCCUAUUAUUUUUAAUGUAAAUUAUAUAAUUAGAGAAUUAUUAAAUAAAGUUUUAAAAUUCAAAGAAUUUGACGGCAAUCUAUAUUAUUAGGGGAACUUGUUAUGUAAUCGAUAAUCCACGAAUAAUUUUACUUUAAUUAUUAUUUAUAUAUCGUUGUUAUAGAAUAUUUUUUGAGAAAUAAUUUUCUUUAAUUAUUAUAUAUUUAAUAUCAGAUCAAGAUUUAAUAAUAUUAAAGAAUAAAUGAGUUACAAUUAAUUUAUUAUUGUUUUAAUAAUAUGUAAAUAAUUAAUUAAAUUGGAUUUAAUAGUAUAUAUAUAUAUAUAUAUAUUUAGAAUAAAUUUUUAGAUUGUGUACAUACUGUCCGUCACUCUUAUAUUUUAAGAAAAGUCGUAGCAAGGUUGGUGUACUAGAAAGUGUACCUAUAAAU
rnacentral:ncRNA from 1 species